rnacentral:rRNA from 1 species
UACGGAGGAUCUGAGCGUUAUCCGGAUUUAUUGGGUUUAAAGGGAGCGUAGGUGGAUUGUUAAGUCAGUUGUGAAAGUUUGCGGCUCAACCGUAAAAUUGCAGUUGAAACUGGCAGUCUUGAGUACAGUAGAGGUGGGCGGAAUUCGUGGUGUAGCGGUGAAAUGCUUAGAUAUCACGAAGAACUCCGAUUGCGAAGGCAGCUCACUGGACUGCAACUGACACUGAGGCUCGAAAGUGUGGGUAUCAAACAGG